AUUUAAAUAGUAUAAAUUAUUAUAAUUGACUUCCAAUCAAUUGAUCUAUUAAUUAGUUUAAAUA
rnacentral:tRNA from 2 species